UACAGGGGGUGCAAACGUUGCUCGGAAUCAUUGGGCGUAAAGCGCACGUAGGCGGUUAUUUAAGUCGGAUGUGAAAGCCCUUGGCUCAACCGAGGAAGUGCAUCCGAAACUGAAUAGCUGGAGUACGAAAGAGGGUCGCGGAAUUCCUGGUGUAGCGGUGAAAUGCGCAGAUAUCAGGAGGAACACCGAUGGCGAAGGCAGGUCUCUGGGCCGAUACUGACGCUGAGGAGCGAAAGCGUGGGGAGCGAACAGG
rnacentral:rRNA from 1 species